UGGCGGCGUGCCUAAUACAUGCAAGUCGAACGGUCUUUCUAUGGAAGCUUGCUUCCACUGAGAAGAUAGUGGCGAACGGGUGAGUAACACGUGGGUAACCUGCCCAUAAGAGGGGGGAUAACAUCCGGAAACGGGUGCUAAUACCGCAUAGUUUUCUUGAUCGCAUGAUCGGGAAAGGAAAGACGGCCUUUGUGCUGUCGCUUAUGGAUGGACCCGCGGCGUAUUAGUUAGUUGGUGAGGUAACGGCUCACCAAGACGAUGAUACGUAGCCGACCUGAGAGGGUGAUCGGCCACAUUGGGACUGAGACACGGCCCAAACUCCUACGGGAGGCAGCAGUAGGGAAUCUUCCGCAAUGGACGAAAGUCUGACGGAGCAACGCCGCGUGAGUGAAGAAAAGGUUUUCGGAUCGUAAAACUCUGUUGUCAGAGAAGAACAAGUUGGAGAGUAACUGCUCCAGCCUUGACGGUAUCUGACCAGAAAGCCACGGCUAACUACGUGCCAGCCGCCGC
rnacentral:rRNA from 1 species